rnacentral:lncRNA from 1 species
AUAUUAAAUCAUGUGCUUUGGGUGUGGCCCUGAAAAAAAAAAAAGACUUUGUACUUGAAGAAGUUGUUGACCAGUGUUGGUUGUUGAGAAUGUUCAAACUCUGGGGAAUGACUUAGGUUACAGGGAUGUAAGCCCCACUCACCACCACCGCAUGUCUGUGUAGGAAAUGUGUUCUCUUUAAAAGAGAACAAAAUUCCCUUCAAAGGAGGGUUGAAGAAAGUUGGUUCCGAUGGGCUUUUGAACUACAUGCAUCUGUAUCAGGCUUUGGUAAUUACCACCCCCCAGGUCAUUUCCUAUUUAAGAAUCUCAGGGCUUCUGAAAAGCUCUUCCAGAACAUGCUAUUUUUCAAGAACUCAUUGGAGUGAAACGAUGUUUGUCACUCGCUGAGAGAGCAAACAGUGCUGGGGGAAGUCAGAACACAUCUUUGAGGACAUGGCAGUCGAAGGCAGAUGAAAGCCAUAGUUUUCCUUCCAAGUUCAGGCACGGCUGUGGGGCUGUUUCCCCAUUCACAGGCACUUCUUCCGGGCUCUGUAUAUCCUGAGGCCUUGGUCUCCAGCCAGCUGUGCUUUUGGUAAAAGCUAGCUCUGAGGCCACCCGGCCUGGAGGCACAGUUGUCAGUUCCUGGCCUCCUUGCCCCAAGGCUCCAGGAACAGAGGCCAAUUGUCUCUGAACAAAAGACUGACCUCUCACUGCCCUGCCCCCUGCCUGGGCCCCUGCUGUUCCUUUGAGCCCCCAGGGAUGGGGUCACCCCCAGAAGAAGUGAGCAGAGGGUGGGCCUCAGGUCCCCCUGUCUUUCAGGGACACUUGUUCUACUGCAGGAUGCUGCCCAUGCCCCCUCUGGCCUCCCUGGAGCAGGCUGUUGGUGCAGCCCUCCUGGAGCCACCUGGACAGACCAUUAGUCCCAUCCUGGGACCUGGCAUCUCCAAGCCCAGAAUUACCUGGAGAGUCUCUUCGUGACAGCCUGGCCAGUCAGCAGGCCAAGGGGGGUGCAAAGAGCUGAGUCAAAGAGGCCCAGGCUACAGUCUUCCCAGCAUAGAUGGCCUGAACCCCAUGCAAGGUUUAAAUCAGAAGCAGGGCUCUCUGAAGUUGCUGGUGCAUCUUCCCUGUGAAGCUUUUCAGCAGAACCGUUCUGGGCCCCGCAAGGAAUGAGUGCAAAUGUGGAUCCCCAACAGCUGCAGUCACAGGCCCUCAGGACCUCCUGGGAGGGGCUGGGAGUGAGAAUAAACGCAAGAGAGAGCCUCAAGCAGGGAGAGGGUGCCUUGGCCCCUCCCCCGCAGCUCUAGGUCCAUAAAGCCCUGGGCUGGGGCAGGCGCCCGGCAGAGGGCUGGGAGCAGCCAGGGUGGAGGGUCUGGCCUGCAGGGUUGGAGAAAAGAGCCAGGAAAGGGUGUGGGUGAGGGUGGUCUCAGCGCAAGGCUCCUGGGAUCCCAGCUUCUACCUUUCUGGGAAAAGAGACCCCACAUCAUGCUCAGCCUCACCCCAAGGCUUCACCAGAAAUUGCAUCCCAUGAUUUCAGAGGCUUCCAAAAGCCGGCCUCUGUGCAUGCACAUGUGAGCCUGUGACCUGGAGGGGUGAAAGCACAACCUGGAAUUACAGACACCUUCUCUCUGAGCACAGAGUGGUGAGGAGACCAACAAGGCUCCCACAGCUCGGGUCAGGAGCUGGGUGGCCCCCGCCUCAGUCUCCCUGACAGCGCAUGUCAGAGGCAUAACUUAAUUCGGCAACAGCCAGGUUCAUCGGCGGGACAACCUGAGAGGUUAUUUCAUCUGCUUUACAUUUACACACCGUUAUGUCUGGUCUGCUGAGCUAUGCAGUUAAGUGACCAGAACCACAUGAGUGCAGCCCAUGAGCUCACCCUGAGCGCCCCCUGCCCCUGGAUGACCAUCCCAGCAUGAGAAUCCAGGGGCCACUCAAAUACUUUGCUUCUUGUCUCCAGGAACCGCCCUGCAGGGACGUAGGCUGUGCACAUCCCUUUGUCCUUGGACCUGCUAGUGCCCCAAAGCUCAGGGGUCCUCACUCAGCCAUAGCCUUAUGCCAGAGGAGGGUGGGGGCAUGGAGAGGGCAUCAGCAUCUCCUGAGUCUCUCAAAGCGGAGGGCAGGUGUCCUUGCGCCCCCCGGGGAGGGGGGUGCCUUUAUACACCCCUUAGAAAGGGGGUCCGAGCCCCUCAUACAACUGGUAUCCAGAGUGUUCCCAGAAAAGGUGUAAAGGAACUGUCCCAAGGCCACACCAGUAACAAAUGGUAGAGGCAGCGGUACAGUGCAGGCACCUUUUGAUCCCUCCACGUCUCCACCCACAAGCUCACCUGCAGGCAGCAUAUCCUCCCCCAUGAUGCUGUGUGCUUAUGUGCUACAAGUCCACGGACACAAGUGCUUCAUUCUUAAGUGUGUGCAUGCGCACGCGCGCGCACACACACACACACACACACACACGCAUACAUACACAUACACAGAGGAUAUCUGACCCUGCCUCUUCGAUUCAGCUCAGGGCCCCCUCCCUCCUGAGCAGGGCUGCCCAAGCCUCUGCACCAGCAGGUGCACAGCUCAGCCCCCUAUGCAGCUUGGCUGUGUCUGCCUCUGUUUUUUCCCGAGUUUUUUUUCCCUUCCCUUUAUGCAUGCAUGCUGAUGGAAACAGCUCCUUCCCCCAGGCCUGCCUCUGAUAAGGUUCCCUCAGUUUCCAGCAAGUGGAGCUGAGCCUCUUAUCAGGCAGCAGCAGGGGAUCUGCACCACCACCCCCCAUCUGCACCGGGCAGGCUGGUGCUGAUAAAGCGGGCCUGGGCCCAGCACUCACCAGCUGCUUCUCAACUUGUCCCCAGGGGGGACACAGAAGCAGGCAGUGGGAGCCAGGAAGUCUCUUCCCUUUCUUAGACACCAGAACUGAGUUCCAGUGACCACAGUCACCUGAUGGGGAGCAAGUUGGGGACAGAGGUCUGGCCAGGAUGCUGCAGGAGGAAUUACUCCUUAGGGCCUGAACAUGGCAGUGGGAGUUGGCUCCUCUUGGGGCCUAUCAGGAUCAGCCUUUGGUGUGAGUCCUCUUAGAAUUCCCUAUGGGGCAAGCACUGUUGUUCUGAUUCCUGGGUAAGAUGCUGAGCCCAGCAGACAAUUUGAAGGCAUUUGGCCUCAUAGGGCAGAUGGGAUGAGGUUUGCAGCAGGCUUGCCAGCCCCCAAAGCUCAGACUGCCCCCACCCCAGUCCUGGGGGCUCUGAUUUGAAGGAGAUCAAAGUCCUCACCCCCACCCCACCCCGACACACACCCCAUUUGAAGAUAGAAAUUCUACCUUCAAAUGUUAACUUCUUUUCCUUUAAGUUUGGGUCACUGGUAAAUGUCCUCUCUUUAGGGUAGGACAGACUGGGUUACCUGACUAUUUUGUGAAAAGUGACUUGGCCUCUCUGACUUUAGUUGUCCUGCCUAUUAUAUGGACUGUGUGCCAUGCCCUGCCAGGAGCACCCAGGAUUCCACAGCUGGAGGGCACCUCCCACCAGUGGCCGCCACUGCUUCCAUCAGUGGAGGCAGGGCCAGGGGCUGGCAGCAGGUCCAGCCAUAGACCCUCAUCUGGGUUUGAAUCCUGGCUCUGUCCUUGGCAACUGAGCUCUAGCCUUUUUAUAUUUACACCAGGGGUAGAAAUACCAGCUGCAGAGUUGUUGGGGAGUUCAGCUAAUGAGAAGUACUCGCCGCCUGUGACAGGCCCAGCAGAGGGAGUUUGGGGUGAGAAGUAUCUUGAGUGUGAGGUGAAGUGAGUGAGGUCCUAGCACAGAGCAGACCCAGGGAAGACCUCCAGCUGCCCUGUGCACAUGGAUGCACAGGAGGAUGGAGGACACUCCAAGACCAAGCUUCCAUACAGGGCAGGGUAGGCAGGGCCACCUGGCACCCUGGGCCGGUAAACAGAGCCUUCCCUGGAAGGUGCACCCCCCCCCCUGCCCUGAGGGCCCCAUGGGAGGGGCUCAGAGUGGUGCACCAAGGCAGCCCUGUCAGAGCAAACCUCAAGGAAAGGAUCGGUGACACUGCCAAGAGGAUAAGCAGCUAAUGCAGAGCCACACAAGUGGUCUGCCCUGAGAUGGACACUGAGCUGGAGGUGUGAGGUUACAGCUGAAAUACCAAGCAACCAGCCUCCCCAGACACCAAGGCUGGGGAAUGUUAAGGGUGGGAGAAAGGGAAGGUGGGGGCAGGGCAGGAGGGCUGCCCAUGAGCUGGGGUCUGGGGAAGGAGCAGGGAGGGGUCCUCAGGUCUUUCCCCUGGAAUCAGUUAAAGCAUCAUUUGUGGUCAUGGGAGGCAGAGGCCUAACGUGUGUCAAGUUCUCUGCAGCCAAGAGGUCAACACAGAUGGCCUCUUGCCCAGCACCCAGCAGGUGCUCAGUGGACUGGUUCAGCCAGUACUGCAAACUCCUGCUUUCCUAACUUGUUGUGUGGGUGUUUCUCCUGCUGCAUGUCACCAGGCUGCCAGGAGGAGCUUUGUGUGAUAACCUUCCCUGUGCCGUUCACCCUGCAAAUUGCUGGACACCCAUGGGAAGAUGCCAUAGCCUCCCCUAUACCCCAGAGUCAUUUUGCUGUGCUUGCUGGGUCUGCUGUAGAAACAGGAAGUCACUUCCUCCUAGAAGGUCAGCACAGGUGCCUCCUAUGGGGGGUUGGGUUUGAACCAGUGAGGGUUCUUGUAUGGAUACAUGCUGGAGGGGCAGUGGAAGGACCAUUCAGAGGAGAGGGCACAGCAUGAGCCGGAACCUGGGAACAUAAAAUAGAAUCAGAGUCCAUGUGACUUUGUGGACACUUGCAUGGGACAGGCGGGAUGUGGACACUGAGAUGACAAUGGGGGAUUCUUGUACCUGUGGCUCUGGUUCUCCUCAGGGGAACCCCCUUUAGAAAGUCACAGAGUUUCUGGUGAAUUGACAGAGAACCAGGCAGUCUAUGAAGCUGGCAUGUGAUAUGGGGGAUGUACUUAUGCUAAAAAUCACGUGGUUAUUUAUCCAAAAGUCACACCUUGCAUUAUCUGACAACCAUAGGAGCAUGGGACCUAGACCUGGGUGUUUUUAAAGGGUCUGAUAUACAGAGCUGAGAACCAUGAGCAAGAGGCUUGCACUGCUGUGAGCAAGCCCACUGUCUCCUGUCCCAGGCCCGGUCCCCAAGGGCAAAGACUUCUGAGUAGAUGGAGCAUUCCCAGUCUUAGAAACUUCUCCUGGGAAGCUUUUGAGAUCUCCUUCUUACUCAUCCUUUCCAUCUGUCUCAUAGAUGCCUCUCACAGUGAUUAAAAACCUAUUUUUUAUGUAAAUUGGAAAGUCUACAAUCCAUCUUAAUUUUUUAAUACUUUAAACAAUGUAGGAGUUCCUGUUGUGGCUCAGCAGAUUAAGAAUCAGACAUAGUGUCUGUGAAGAUGUGGGUUCAAUCUCUGGCUGCUCAGUGGGUUAAGAGUCUGGCAUUACUGCAAGCUGAGGCAUAGGUCACAAAUACGACCUGGAUCUGGUGUUGCUGUGGCUGCGGCAUAGGUCAGCAGCUGCAGUUCCAAUUCGGCCCUAGCCUGGGAACUUCCAUAUGCCACAGGUGCAUUCCUAAAAAGAAAAAAA